GAAAUGCGAUAAGUAGUGUGAAUUGCAGAAUUCAGUGAAUCAUCGAAUCUUUGAACGCACAUUGCGCCCUUUGGUAUUCCAAAGGGCAUGCCUGUUCGAGCGUCAUUUGUACCCUCAAGCUUUGCUUGGUGUUGGGCGUCUUGUCUCUAGCUUUGCUGGAGACUCGCCUUAAAGUAAUUGGCAGCCGGCCUACUGGUUUUGGAGCGCAGCACAAGUCGCACUCUCUAUCAGCAAAGGUCUAGCAUCCAUUAAGCCUUUUUUCAACUUUUGACCUCGGAUCAGGUAGGGAUACCCGCUGAACUUAAGC
rnacentral:misc_RNA from 1 species